rnacentral:rRNA from 1 species
UGGUACUUGUACCGACUGGAUGAGCAGCGAACGGGUGAGUAACGCGUGGGGAAUCUGCCUUUGAGCGGGGGACAACAUUUGGAAACGAAUGCUAAUACCGCAUAAAAACUUUAAACACAAGUUUUAAGUUUGAAAGAUGCAAUUGCAUCACUCAAAGAUGAUCCCGCGUUGUAUUAGCUAGUUGGUGAGGUAAAGGCUCACCAAGGCGAUGAUACAUAGCCGACCUGAGAGGGUGAUCGGCCACAUUGGGACUGAGACACGGCCCAAACUCCUACGGGAGGCAGCAGUAGGGAAUCUUCGGCAAUGGACGAAAGUCUGACCGAGCAACGCCGCGUGAGUGAAGAAGGUUUUCGGAUCGUAAAACUCUGUUGGUAGAGAAGAACGUUGGUGAGAGUGGAAAGCUCAUCAAGUGACGGUAACUACCCAGAAAGGGACGGCUAACUACGUGCCAGCAGCCGCGGUAAUACGUAGGUCCCGAGCGUUGUCCGGAUUUAUUGGGCGUAAAGCGAGCGCAGGUGGUUUAUUAAGUCUGGUGUAAAAGGCAGUGGCUCAACCAUUGUAUGCAUUGGAAACUGGUAGACUUGAGUGCAGGAGAGGAGAGUGGAAUUCCAUGGGUAGCGG